rnacentral:lncRNA from 1 species
GCUUACUCAACAAUAAGGUACAGUCAUUUCAAAAAGCAUUUUGAUAUCCAGAUUGAGGAAAUUCAAAACCAUAACUUUUAACUUUUCUGGUAUAUUUGAACUGCAUUGGUUAACAGUAAUGAUUUUAGAAGAUUGCAAGUUAAUUCUUGUCAUCUUAAAAUCGGUAAUCUCUCUUUUCUCCGCCUAAACACACAUUCCAAACUCACAAAAAGUAUGUGUCUGUUGAGGUAGUAUUGAAAAACCUAGGAAAUGAAAAGUGCAAUCAGUGACUCUCAUGAUUAAGCUAGGCUUUCCAUGAAUCAUAUAAACAUAGACUUACUUGGAAUUAUGUGUAGAUUAAAUCUCAGGCAGAACAAUUUAUCAGGUACAACGUAUAAGGAAAUCAGAGGUCAUGCAUGAGAAUACAAAGCAGAUACAUGGCAGUAGCAGUAAGUAGCAACAUAACAGGUCUCCUACUGAUGACACGGAAUUAUUCUACAAAAAAAAAAAUAAAAGGGAUUUCUCUCAUGAUUAAGCUAGGCUUUCCAUGAAUCAUAUAAACAUAGACUUACUUGGAAUUAUGUGUAGAUUAAAUCUCAGGCAGAACAAUUUAUCAGGUACAACGUAUAAGGAAAUCAGAGGUCAUGCAUGAGAAUACAAAGCAGAUACAUGGCAGUAGCAGUA